UACGUAGGUGGCAAGCGUUGUCCGGAUUUACUGGGCGUAAAGAGCGCGCAGGCGGUCGUUCAAGUCGCGUGUGAAAGCCCCCGGCUCAACUGGGGAGGGUCACGCGAUACUGAUCGACUCGAAGGCAGGAGAGGGAAGUGGAAUUCCCGGUGUAGUGGUGAAAUGCGUAGAUAUCGGGAGGAACACCAGUGGCGAAGGCGACUUCCUGGCCUGUUCUUGACGCUGAAGCGCGAAAGCUAGGGGAGCAAACGGG
rnacentral:rRNA from 1 species